AGGAUGAACGCUAGCUACAGGCUUAACACAUGCAAGUCGAGGGGCAGCAUGGUCUUAGCUUGCUAAGGCCGAUGGCGACCGGCGCACGGGUGAGUAACACGUAUCCAACCUGCCGUCUACUCUUGGACAGCCUUCUGAAAGGAAGAUUAAUACAAGAUGGCAUCAUGAGUCCGCAUGUUCACAUGAUUAAAGGUAUUCCGGUAGACGAUGGGGAUGCGUUCCAUUAGAUAGUAGGCGGGGUAACGGCCCACCUAGUCUUCGAUGGAUAGGGGUUCUGAGAGGAAGGUCCCCCACAUUGGAACUGAGACACGGUCCAAACUCCUACGGGAGGCAGCAGUGAGGAAUAUUGGUCAAUGGGCGAGAGCCUGAACCAGCCAAGUAGCGUGAAGGAUGACUGCCCUAUGGGUUGUAAACUUCUUUUAUAAAGGAAUAAAGUCGGGUAUGGAUACCCGUUUGCAUGUACUUUAUGAAUAAGGAUCGGCUAACUCCGUGCCAGCAGCCGCGGUAAUACGGAGGAUCCGAGCGUUAUCCGGAUUUAUUGGGUUUAAAGGGAGCGUAGAUGGAUGUUUAAGUCAGUUGUGAAAGUUUGCGGCUCAACCGUAAAAUUGCAGUUGAUACUGGAUAUCUUGAGUGCAGUUGAGGCAGGCGGAAUUCGUGGUGUAGCGGUGAAAUGCUUAGAUAUCACGAAGAACUCCGAUUGCGAAGGCAGCCUGCUAAGCUGCAACUGACAUUGAGGCUCGAAAGUGUGGGUAUCAAACAGGAUUAGAUACCCUGGUAGUCCACACGGUAAACGAUGAAUACUCGCUGUUUGCGAUAUACGGCAAGCGGCCAAGCGGAAGCGUUAAGUAUUCCACCUGGGGAGUACGCCGGCAACGGUGAAACUCAAAGGAAUUGACGGGGGCCCGCACAAGCGGAGGAACAUGUGGUUUAAUUCGAUGAUACGCGAGGAACCUUACCCGGGCUUAAAUUGCAGAUGAAUUACGGUGAAAGCCGUAAGCCGCAAGGCAUCUGUGAAGGUGCUGCAUGGUUGUCGUCAGCUCGUGCCGUGAGGUGUCGGCUUAAGUGCCAUAACGAGCGCAACCCUUGUUGUCAGUUACUAACAGGUUCCGCUGAGGACUCUGACAAGACUGCCAUCGUAAGAUGUGAGGAAGGUGGGGAUGACGUCAAAUCAGCACGGCCCUUACGUCCGGGGCUACACACGUGUUACAAUGGGGGGUACAGAGGGCCGCUACCACGCGAGUGGAUGCCAAUCCCCAAAACCUCUCUCAGUUCGGACUGGAGUCUGCAACCCGACUCCACGAAGCUGGAUUCGCUAGUAAUCGCGCAUCAGCCACGGCGCGGUGAAUACGUUCCCGGGCCCUGUACACACCGCCCGUCAAGCCAUGGGAGCCGGGGGUACCUGAAGUGCGUAACCGCGAGGAGCGCCCUAGGGUAAA
rnacentral:rRNA from 1 species